rnacentral:rRNA from 1 species
UACGAAGGGUGCAAGCGUUACUCGGAAUUACUGGGCGUAAAGCGUGCGUAGGUGGUGAGUUAAGUCUGAUGUGAAAUCCCCGGGCUCAACCUGGGAAUGGCAUUGGAUACUGGCUCGCUAGAGUGCGGUAGAGGGUGGUGGAAUUCCCGGUGUAGCAGUGAAAUGCGUAGAGAUCGGGAGGAACACCUGUGGCGAAGGCGGCCCCCUGGGCCGGCCCUGACACUGAGACGCGAAGGCGUGGGGAGCGAACGGG